rnacentral:lncRNA from 1 species
AGGAAGAAAAAAAACCAACAAAAACUUAUAUGCAGUUUAUAGCCCAAAUUUGUAAACUUGUCCAUUUUAAGGUAGGUGAAAGGAUCUUGCCAAAGUUAGGGGCAAUUUGCAAUUCAUUGUUUUUAAAUUUGACACACAUUAAUAUUUUUGUGAAUGAUUAAGGCUAUUUAUUUUUGUAUAUCGCUUUACCUACCUGGACUGCAUUGCCACCUAGAAGGUGGCAGGAGGUAGUUGUCUGGAAUGUGGAGAACACUCCGCUGCCAUUUUUCUUUCACUUUGGCAUGAUCACAUGGUUUACCCUUUCUGUCUUUUCUUAGCCCUUGACUUCUAGGAUAUUGGAGGAAAGAGACAGAAGUACAGUAUAUCACUUUACCUGUCUGCACUAUAUGUGUGAUGUUGGAAAAGUCACUUAAUUUCUUCAUUCAUCAGUUUCUAUGUCUUCAACCAAAGAGGUGGAGCCUGAUGGUAAUUGGUUUCUCAUUGCUCUGACACUCUGAGUGUGCAUAUGUGGGGGUGGACGUCCUCCAUACAGAAAGCAAAAUGAUGGUUUUGAUGCUGAGAAAUGGACUAGCUAUGAACUCAAAGAUUUUACAUUGAUUCUUACUACAGAGGUGGGUUAUUGUUAUUGUACCAGUUCUCUAAUUUCAACGUACAGAGGCAGCUACACUGGCCUUCGUGGUUUUUUUCUGUGUCCUUAUUUAUGAACUUGGUGCAUAAAACCCUUCUUCAUUUCCUUAGAUGACUGAGGCAGUUAAUCCUUUAUUGAUCACUCACGAUUAUAACACAGGUGUUAUGCAAACACAGUGAGGUCUUUAUGCCCGAGGAGGCCUUCGCUGUGACAGAGCUUCUGACAACACACACUCAGGCUGUGUCUCCUUUGUACUGUCCCUGGGGCUGCUGACUUCCCUUCUCACUGCCUCUAAGUAAAACUUCUCACUCCUGUCAGGUGGCAGGUAAAGACAGAAACUGACUCUAGGGCCUACCUUAGGCCGUGUGAUCCCAGCACACUCAGAGGUCCUGGAGGGUGAAUCCCUAAAGCUGAGCUAGGGAUGGUAAAGGCACUCCAGCCUUCUCCAUAGUGGCUCCACAGUCCUCAGGUUUCUCUAUGAUUGGCUUUUUGGAGAAGCCAGAAAAGAAAAACCAAGAACCCCACUGAGGUGAACACAUGAUUGAUUUCAGCUCCACAACUGAGUGAGACAGUUUUUGGGAGGCACAUCAACCUGCAGGUAUAGAUGAGGCUGCAGGUUCUUUUCCGGGGCUGCUAGAGUGGAGUCAUCUGGGGACCAGUGAGAGAAAUGCAUCACUCACUUUGUAUUCUUAUCCCUGUGGUUGGGGAAGAAACACUCACCAGUCCACAGAAUGUGGUCACGUGACUAGGGAGAGACUCAAGGCAAAGGGCUCAAAAUGCCAUGCCCCAUUUUCCGUUUGUCAAUAAUCAGUGCUGUCAUCUUCCUGUUCAUGUUGUAAGUUUUGAUCUUUUCAGGACUGCUUCCUUGCCAAACCCUCGCGUCCACUCCCCAACACACUUUGUGCUAAUUAAUGGCAUUUCAUCGCUUGAUUUUGAAAAAUGAAAGUGUGAACUACUUGUGAAAGAGCUCUUAGCAAGAUAAGAAAGAAAAAAUGACUCCUUAUCUCCCUAACCUACAGAAAAGCUGGUAUGAUUAUGUCUUAAGAAUGUGCAUGAAAAUGUUAUUUCUAACAGAGGGAGUCCAGCAAACAUCCACACUCCAAAUACUGGGCUCCCUGCCUACACGCAGGCCUUUGCUGAAAUGUCACCUUCUUAUUGUAUCCCUUCUUGACAACCUGAUUUAAAAUUGUAAUUUCUGCAAGCCUGCUGACAACACUCUCUCUCUCCCCGCCUGUUUUACUCCUCUCCAUGGCAAUUAUCUCCAUCUGACAUAUAUUUUACUUAUUUUAUUUUGUGUUUAUUUCCACUGAAAUAUAAGCUCCUGAGAUUCUGAGAGCUGUGCUUCCAUUGUGUCUAGAAAAGCGUCUGGCACAUAUGAGCCUCAGACUCAGGGCUGGGACCCUUGGGACUCAAAAGAGAGAAAAGGUGGAGAAAAGAGAAAGCUACUAUUUUCUUCAUUUUGCCCCUGCUAACAUCCAAUGCACUUAGGAGCCUCGAUGUCUGCUCUCCAAGAGAUGUCUGAUCUGAAAGCAUGUUGUGGUCCGCUACACACAAGAGCAAAAGAAGAGCAGGAAGGAGCUCAGUGCCAAGACCAUAGCCACAGGAAGAAAACCAGCUCUUAGGGCUGCAGCUCUAAAGACAGGCCAGGUCAUUACAGGAACGUCUGCUCCCUUAGCCUUGCCAGACAGAGGAGGGUUAAGAAAGGAACUGCUGACCCUGAUAUGCAAACUGCCACGAGUGCUUCCUGCCUUUCUAUCAGCAUCAGAUGGCUAGCGAUGGAUGGCUGUAAGAUUGAUGUAAUUAACAUUUUAUUUUCAGGGCCACAGUGCUGGUUGGGUGCACCAGACAAAUCAACCAACAGAUUAAAGAGUGAUGGAGAAA